GGGGGGGAGUAGAUCCGAUUGUCCCAACAAUAAUAUAUAAUUUGGAGCCCAAACCCCUACCCUCUCUGUUAUGCUAAAAUAAAUAAAUAAUUUUUUGUGAGCUAAUGAUAAGUCGAUACAUAUGGAAAAGACAUACAAAUGGUGAGCAUUUGGAAUGGCUAGCAAAAGACUUUACCAACAUGCUAUCCAAUUACAAAUAAUUAUAAUUUUUUUAAAUAUAAA
rnacentral:lncRNA from 1 species